GGGGGGGGUUUGUGUAUAACGAAAACAAUAAAACAAUUAAAGAACAAUUUAGAUUAAAGUAUUGAAAUCAAUCAAAAGAACAAAUCUUGGCCUAAUUCAACAUCCACCAUCGGAAUUUUACAACUAAUCAUUGAUGCAAGGAUAUAUCAAUUUACACUUUGAAUGUCCACCGUUAGAAAUAUUUUUCUAUCUCUUCUUAGUCAUAGUUAAUUAAAAACAAACGAUCUAAUUAACUCUAACUACUAAACAACCCAAGACAAGCGCUAAAGGUUUAAUCUAGUAGCAGCCUUAAGAAUUAGAGAGAUCGAUGAAGCUAAACAACACAAACACAAGCGGUUGCAUUUGAUUUAACCGAGUAUU
rnacentral:lncRNA from 1 species